rnacentral:sRNA from 1 species
CUGCUAGCACAUAUGUAUGGGUUCAGUACGUAUGGCACACAGAAAGGGGAGUGUGUUUGCCUACAGUGUCUCUCUGGAUCCUCUUUGUUUAUAUUGAAGCAGCCAUUAGAUUUAAAGAUCUCAAAAACUUUCAUGUAGACCUUUGUCGUCCAUUUGCUGCUCACUGCAGCCAAAGGAUUACCUGAUAUGGAUUCUUCGAUCCUUAUACACCACAAUGGAGGUAUCCCAGCCAACAAAAAACUCUCCACAACUUUGCCAGAGAUAGAAUACCGAGAAAAAGGGAAAGAAAAGGACAAGGAUGCCAAAAAACACAACCUUGGAAUAAAUAACAACAAUAUUCUACAACCUGUAGACUCUAAAAUACAAGAGAUUGAGUAUAUGGAAAACCAUAUCAAUAGUAAAAGAUUAAAUAAUGAUCUUGUGGGAAGUACAGAAAAUCUCUUGAAAGAGGACUCAUGCACUGCUUCCUCAAAAAAUUACAAAAAUGCCAGUGGAGUUGUGAACUCUUCACCUCGAAGUCAUAGCGCCACAAAUGGGAGCAUUCCUUCCUCAUCUAGUA